rnacentral:rRNA from 1 species
CCUACGGGAGACAGCAGUGAGGAAUAUUGGUCAAUGGUCGGGAGACUGAACCAGCCAAGCCGCGUGAGGGAUGAAGGUACAGAGUAUCGUAAACCUCUUUUGUCAGGGAACAAAGGCGGGGACGUGUCCCCGGAGGAGUGUACCUGAAGAAAAAGCAUCGGGUAACUCCGUGCCAGCAGCCGCGGUAAUACGGAGUAUGCGAGCGUUAUCCGGUUUUAUUGGGUGUAAAGGGGGCGCAGGCGGUCUGUUAAGUCAGCGGUCAAAGCCCGGGGCUCAACCCCGGCCCGCCGUUGAAACUGGCAGUCUCGAGUUGGAGAGAAGUAUGCGGAAUGCGCGGUGUAGCGGUGAAAUGCAUAGAUAUCGCGCAGAACUCCGAUUGCGAAGGCAGCAUGCCGGCUCCACACUGACGCUGAGGCACGAAAGCGUGGGUAUCGAACAGGAUUAGAUACCCGAGUAGUC